rnacentral:rRNA from 1 species
UACGGAGGGUGCAAGCGUUAUCCGGAUUUACUGGGCGUAAAGGGCGCGUAGGCGGUCAGCACAAGUCAGUUGUGAAAUCUCCGGGCUUAACUCGGAAAGGUCAACUGAUACUGUGCGACUAGAGUGCAGAAGGGGCAACUGGAAUUCUCGGUGUAGCGGUGAAAUGCGUAGAUAUCGAGAGGAACACCUGCGGCGAAGGCGGGUUGCUGGGCUGACACUGACGCUGAGGCGCGAAAGCCAGGGGAGCGAACGGG